rnacentral:rRNA from 1 species
AUUGAACGCUGGCGGCAGGCUCAACACAUGCAAGUCGAGCGGGGGAAGGUAGCUUGCUACCGGACCUAGCGGCGGACGGGUGAGUAAUGCUUAGGAAUCUGCCUAUUAGUGGGGGACAACAUCUCGAAAGGGAUGCUAAUACCGCAUACGUCCUACGGGAGAAAGCAGGGGAUCUUCGGACCUUGCGCUAAUAGAUGAGCCUAAGUCGGAUUAGCUAGUUGGUGGGUAAAGGCCUACCAAGGCGACGAUCUGUAGCGGGUCUGAAAGGAUGAUCCGCCACACUGGGACUGAGACACGGCCCAGACUCCUACGGGAGGCAGCAGUGGGGAAUAUUGGACAAUGGGGGGAACCCUGAUCCAGCCAUGCCGCGCGUGUGAAGAAGGCCUUAUGGUUGUAAAGCACUUUAAGCGAGGAGGAGGCUACUCUAGUUAAUACCUAGGGAUAGUGGACGUUACUCGCAGAAUAAGCACCGGCUAACUCUGUGCCAGCCGCCGCAGUAA